rnacentral:rRNA from 1 species
AUUGAACGCUGGCGGCAUGCCUUACACAUGCAAGUCGAACGGCAGCACGGGGGCAACCCUGGUGGCGAGUGGCGAACGGGUGAGUAAUACAUCGGAACAUGUCCUAGAGUGGGGGAUAACGCGUCGAAAGAUGUGCUAAUACCGCAUACGAUCUACGGAUGAAAGCGGGGGACCGCAAGGCCUCGCGCUCUUGGAGUGGCCGAUGUCGGAUUAGCUAGUUGGCGGGGUAAUGGCCCACCAAGGCGACGAUCCGUAGCUGGGCUGAGAGGAUGAUCAGCCACACUGGAACUGAGACACGGUCCAGACUCCUACGGGAGGCAGCAGUGGGGAAUUUUGGACAAUGGGCGCAAGCCUGAUCCAGCCAUGCCGCGUGAGUGAAGAAGGCCUUCGGGUUGUAAAGCUCUUUCGGCGGGAACGAAACGGUCCAUGCCAACACCAUGGACUAAUGACGGUACCCGAAGAAGAAGCACCGGCUAACUACGUGCCAGCCGCCGCCGUAAUAC